AACGAACGCUGGCGGCAUGCCUAACACAUGCAAGUCGAACGAGACCUUCGGGUCUAGUGGCGCACGGGUGCGUAACGCGUGGGAACCUGCCUUUAGGUUCGGAAUAACUCAGAGAAAUUUGAGCUAAUACCGGAUGAUGUCUUCGGACCAAAGAUUUAUCGCCUUUAGAUGGGCCCGCGUUGGAUUAGCUAGUUGGUGGGGUAAAGGCCUACCAAGGCGACGAUCCAUAGCUGGUCUGAGAGGAUGAUCAGCCACACUGGGACUGAGACACGGCCCAGACUCCUACGGGAGGCAGCAGUGGGGAAUAUUGGACGAUGGGCGAAAGCCUGAUCCAGCAAUGCCGCGUGAGUGAUGAAGGCCUGAGGGUUGUAAAGCUCUUUUACCCGAGAUGAUAAUGACAGGAUCGGGAGAAUAAGCUCCGGCUAACUCCG
rnacentral:rRNA from 1 species